rnacentral:rRNA from 1 species
GAGGGACCCCCCCAAGAGUGGCCUGUGCUUUAAUUUUUCUCAACACAGGGAAACUCACGCGGGGCUCAAACAAUGAGGAUUGAGAGAUUGAGAGUUCUUUCUCGAUUUUGUGGGGGGUGGGGUAUGGCCGCUUUUAGUUGGGGGAGGGCUUUGUCUGGUGAAUUCCGAUAACGAACACGACUCUCGCCUAUUAAAUACACGUUAUAUCUUUUUUAUAGCGUGGUUCUUAGAGGUACAAGGAGCUCCUAGCUGCCAGAGAUUGGACAAUAACUAGUCUGAGAUGCCCGUAGAUGUCCCGGGCUGUGGGCGCGCCACAAUGAACAUAGAAGCGAUCAUGACUACCUUCUCUGGACAAAAGGAGUGAAAACCCUCCCUUCACCUUCUUCUAGAGGGGGGGUGGCGAUUUUUUCAUUUCCCUCAGGAGCUUUAGUAUACAGAGGACCCCUGACUUGGCCUUGAUUCAUGCCCUGCCUAUCCACCACCUCUCCCGCUCUACCCCUACUUGGGAUCGUUUGUUAG